rfam:Drosophila ficusphila unplaced genomic scaffold scf7180000452523, whole genome shotgun sequence
CCCGCAGGCAACCUCAUCAAGCCGUUUUCAUUUAAUUUUCAUGCACAUUUAAUGGCGUCUGUUAUUGGCUUUUAACGAGAUUUCCACUCCAGC